UUCUCCUAUCCCUUCUUCUUCCCCCUAUUGUCUUUCUCUCUAGUAGCACCUUGAUUAAGGUUGUAAUGAUGAAAUGUGCUUUUAGCUGUGGAAGAUGUUGAAUCAUAUGAGAAGCACUAAUACAGGAUCUUGUGAGUUAUAAAUGCAGUUAAACUAUAAGCCUUUACACAGAAGAACCAUGGGGCUGUCUCUUGUUUUGUGUCCCUUCCUGUCCCCAUUGGCUCGAUGUGUUUUAUACACACUAAUACACGUGUUAUUAUACAAUCAAAUUUCAAUCAAAUGUAUUAAUACAGCCCUUUUUACAUCAGCCGAUGUCACAAAGUGCUACACAGAAACCCAGCCUAAAACCCCAAACAGCAAGCAAGGCAGAUGUAGAAGCGCUGUUAUAUAUAUUCUGUUAUUACCACUCUCUGCCGCCUUUACCUUCUCCUGUUGUAAGCACAUUGAUGUACUGAAACGCCUUGCAUUGUUUUUGAUAAUAACCAAUUACAGCGUUUACUCCUCAUUUUCAAUUGUCCUCCAAGACUGGCAGUAUAGGUCAAACACAUCCUCAAUCCCCUAUCUGAGGCUUGCUUUAAACCCGGGCUAAUGUGCUAUAUAACGCAAGCGCGUGCGUGCGCGCGCACACACACAGUAAUAACAUUGCUGUAAUAAUCAGAAUAUUCAUCAUCACAGUAAAACAAAACCAACGCGGAGUCGUCAGACAAACUGAAGGCUCAGUAGCAUUGCCUUAGGAACAGGACUGAGACAGAGAAAGGACGCAGCCAUGGUCUGAGAGACAAUUACAUCACAAAUUCUGACGAAACUCACUGUAAUUAAAUUGUUCCAUCCUUUCUCAUCAUUUCCUUUUUUGGGGGGUUUUACACAUCGUUAAAUGGAGUGUUGCGUAGCUUAUUAGAAAUAAAAUAUUAGUAGCAUACAUGAAUUUCACUACCAAGCAUUGAACACCCAUUGCUCCCAAAUCACCAUUAUUCAGAUAAAUGUUAAAAGGUCUCAAAUAGGUUAUAUCAACUUUAAUUCUCAAACUCAUUAAUGCACAAAAAUUAACAAAUGUAAUUCGUUGGACAUAUCCUUAAAAUAUGCAAGUCAUAGUUCCAAACCACUAUUGCAGCAUAAUCAUAAUAAUAAUAAUAAUUUAAUACAAAUAUUUAUCACAAUAAUUGUAUCCAAAAUUGUACAAUGGUAAAAUUAUUUCUGCAGUCCUCAUUUUUGCUUUAGUCCAACAGUCCUUAAUUAAAAAAGAUCGUAAAUCCAUAAAAUACAAAGGGUGGAUGCAUUUGUUUCCAAAGUUAUGUAUCUAGCUAAAGAACUACAAAUACCCGAAAAUAGCUCAAAUGAUUUUCCCUUAAAUCAAAGCAAAAACAAAGAAAUGUAAAAAUCGUCCUAAUAUGCGGAAGAAGAGAAAGCCGUAGUUGAUAUCCAGUAGAAAUAUCAUCAUGCUGCUGAUGUGCCCUAGAAAGAGCGAGCGGAGAGCGCGAACACACACACAACCUUACAUACCGGAGUUUGAAGCUGCCUCUUGUGUCCCGGUGUUUUUUUUUCUCUCUCUUAAUGCAAGCGAUCGAUGUCCCUGUCACUGUCGUGUCCCAAUCCCAGCCAAGGUUCUACCUCAAACCAGCCAUCAGGCAAAACACCUACCACAGCCCCUCUCCUCACCUCUCCUCUGUACCCCAAGUUACACUAAACCAUCAGCAUGUAUAGACAACUCACCACCGCAGCCUGGGCUGAAACCUCAUCACUGGCAAUGAAAGGACAAUUCAUUAUAUGGAGAACAAAUAUGAACCCACCAAAGCGAAUGAAUGGGGAGAACAUGAAUCUUACGUUACGGCAAUAGGACAAGAGUAAAGAAAAUAGAGAACAUAUAAUGAAGAGUUUGGGCCUCUUACGCUCUUUUUUCACCAAUGCCGGUUUUUAAUAUUUUCUCAAAAAGAUUUAAGAACCGUGAGUUUCUGGAUCCAGGGGACCUGCGUGCUAUCAGUAGCCCAACGACUGGUCUCCUCCCCCSGCGACACAGCCACCCACGCCUCGGUACAAUGGCUACUCCUUUACACGCAGCAGUUGUGAAACUAUGACAGAACAAGAAAGCAUAUGUCUGGCUAUGAAAAACUGAAGAGAACAGGCGUUUAGGCCUAUACAGUGGAGGAACACGCCGGCCUUAUCUGAAAGUCGCUAUCAGGAGAGAGACCUGAACAUGGUCUUCAUCGUGUAGGGAAGCAGGACAUCGGUUCUCCUUCAUGAAAAAAAAGUCGAAGGGGUGAAUUGACUGAGCUGGGUUUUGGGAUCCUAUGAUAAGGCUGCUGGCAGCGAAUACAUCCUACUGCAGUAGCCUACAACUGAACCAGACCCACACCGACCCAGCCCGAACCAAGCUCGACCCAGAGCUGCUGUUUCCCGGACUACUAGGGCUGUAACCUGUGUUAAAUGUGGUCAGCCGAGGCGUCACUUUUCUGAGGCUGUGGCUUUUUAGCGUCCUAUAGGGUUUCCAAACUGCUCUUCCCGGAGAGGCGACUCACUCAGCGGACAGGAGAAGCCAGACAAGCCGCUGCCUGGUUGGAAAACCAGCAUGGAGCAAGAGGCAAUGGACGGAGCGUUGCAGACAGCUUUUCUGGUCUCACAGAAUCGUAAGGCUAUAAUAACAAACCUGGUGCGAUGGACUAAAGGUUGUUCUGAAUGUUGAACUAUUGAUUGAUUUUAUUUUCAAGUGGUCACUUAUUUUCUUGCGAGGAUGCAGACUAAUAACCUCGUAGCAGGCGACUGUGAGGGACAUGUCCAUAUAUUGCAGACAUUCACUUGUCUUUUCUUUUGUUUUCACGGUGAAAGAAGAAAGUAAGGCGGAUUUAAGGGCCUGAUACUCUUUAUCUUAACCUCAUGCAUUUGUAAAUCCCCGGUCGCCUCCCUCUCACUGUUCCAGCAGACGAUGCUCUUUCUCCGGAGGCUGCUUGACAAAAGAGCAAGUUAACUAACAUUUCGCCCCAUUUCCAUAUCUCAGAAUCCCCAAUUAAUUAUAGAUUAUCUGUAAACUCAGAGUGUGUGUGUGUGUGUGUGUCCUCGGGUUAGACUGAAGGGUGAAAUAAAACGAUAAAAAAGGACCGUACGUUGCCAAUUGAGCUUGUAUCAGAAAGACCAUUUGCAAGUGUUUAAUAUUUAAACGAAUACGAAUAAAAAUAUAACUACUAUUGCUUUUUGUGAAUGGUUAUUACAAUAAUAAUACAAUAAUAUAGGAUCAAAUUCCUGACGCUUUCUCCCUGGGUCAUUGUUUUCCAUUGCUUUGAGGCAUGUUCAGCCCUCGGUAUCGGUCUGACUCCUGCCAUAAGGACUGUUCUCCCUUGUUUCAAAUCUGAUGGUUUUAGUCYAAAGCACCGGCGCCCUCUGGGGUCCGUUAGGUCACGACUGGGGAAGUUUGACCCUUUCCUCAAAACACACAGACCCACUGGCAAACCCUUUAUACCCAACACACUGACCCAUCUCCCUUAGGCUACACACAGACCAUAACCAGAACAGCCCCAACACAAGUCACAACACGUAGAGAAG